CCUACGGGCGGCAGCAGUGGGGGAUAUUGCACAAUGGGGGAAAGCCUGAUGCAGCGACGCCGCGUGAGUGAAGAAGGAUUUCGGUAUGUAAAGCUCUAUCAGCAGGGAAGAAAAUGACAGUACCUGACCAAGACGCCCCGGCUAACUACGUUCCAGCAAACGCGGUAAUACGUAGGGGGCAAGCGUUGUCCGUAUGUACUGGGUGUAAGGGGAGCGUAGACGGAUAUGUAAGACUGGAUUGAAAACCCGGGGCCCAACCCCGGGACGUCUUUGGAAACUGUGUAACUGGAGUACAGGAGGGGAAGGUGGAAUUCCGGGUGUAGCGGUGAAGUGCGUAGAUAUCAGGAGGAACACCGGCGGCGAAGGCGGCCUGCUGGACUGAAACUGACGUUGAGGCUCGAAAGCGUGGGGAGCAAACAGGAUUAGAUACCCCAGUAGUC
rnacentral:rRNA from 1 species